UGUUAAAAAUUUUAUCUAUAUGUACUAUUAAAAACUACUGUGAUUGACGAAAUAACCAGGCAAUAAUACUUGACAUGUCACGUGUUACUAACGUAUAAAAACUCAUUUCUAACAGUAGAAAUGGAUGAAAUUUUUAAUA
rfam:Gossypium arboreum cultivar AKA8401 contig_7257_1, whole genome shotgun sequence.